AAAACAUUUUUUUUAGAAUAAAAUAAUAAAUAAGUUCUGCCCAAUGAAUAAUUUAAUGGCUGCAGUAAUUUAACUGUACUAAGGUAGCAUAAUCAAUUGUUUUUUAAAUGAAAACUAGAAUGAAUGAGAUAAUGAAAUAUAAACUUUAUUUAAUUUAAAUUUUGAAUUUAAAUUUAAAGUAAAAAAGCUUUAAUAAAUUUAUAAGACGAGAAGACCCUAUAGAAUUUUAUAUAAAAUUUAUUAGUUAGAUAAUAAAAUUUAAUAAAUUAAAUAUUUAUUUGGGAGGAAUAUAAAAUUAAAAACUUUAAUUAAGUUAAUACAUAAAUAAAUGAAAAUUAUUGAUUUUAGAUAUAAUAAGUAAAAAAUUAAAUUACCUUAGGGAUAACAGCGUAAUAUUUUUUUAUAGUUCAAAUUGAAAAAAAUGUUU
rnacentral:rRNA from 1 species